GACGUUCAGCUAAUAACGGACUGUUUUUUUUUUUCGAGAGAGAGAGAGAGAGAGAGAUUGGAUCCUCGCAAGGCACUGAUUACGCUAAACAGAGGACAGGAUAUGGUGCAAUUGACACUGGUCAAGGGAAACGGAAAGGAUGUGGCGAGAAUAAAACCACCACAAGAUGCCGCUGUUCAGAAUUCAGAGAUGACAGAUGUCUCAUUGUAUUAAACCCCCAACUGUUGACACAUGUAGAUGU
rnacentral:lncRNA from 1 species